AGUGAACGCUGGCGGUAGGCCUAACACAUGCAAGUCGAACGGCAGCACAGUAAGAGCUUGCUCUUACGGGUGGCGAGUGGCGGACGGGUGAGGAAUACAUCGGAAUCUACUUUUUCGUGGGGGAUAACGUAGGGAAACUUACGCUAAUACCGCAUACGACCUACGGGUGAAAGCAGGGGAUCUUCGGACCUUGCGCGAUUGAAUGAGCCGAUGUCGGAUUAGCUAGUUGGCGGGGUAAAGGCCCACCAAGGCGACGAUCCGUAGCUGGUCUGAGAGGAUGAUCAGCAACACUGGAACUGAGACACGGGCCAGACUCCUACGGGAGGCAGAAGUGGGGAAUAUUGGACAAUGGGCGCAAGCCUGAUCCAGCCAUACCGCGUGGGUGAAGAAGGCCUUCGGGUUGUAAAGCCCUUUUGUUGGGAAAGAAAAGCAGCAGGUUAAUACCCCGCUGUUCUGACGGUACCCAAAGAAUAAGCACCGGCUAACUUCGUG
rnacentral:rRNA from 1 species